CUUGUGUUUUGAAAGGGGCUAAGAGCUUAAGGAAUAUUAAUGAUGGAAGUAUCGAGGAGCAUAGAGGUAAUAAUGAUGAAAAGG